UGUUNCAAUAGCUAACUCUGGAGAGUUA
rnacentral:piRNA from 1 species